GGCGAACGGGUGAGUAACACGUGAGUAAUCCUGCCCUCGGCACCGGGAUAGCCCGGGGAAACCCUGGAUUAAUACCGGAUGGCCAUUCGAGCUCUCGAGCGCGAAUGAAAAGGUAGCUUCGGCCUCUGGCCGAGGAUGGGCUCGCGGCGGAUUAGCUUGUUGGUGGGGUAAUGGCUCACCAAGGCGACGAUCCGUAGCUGGUCUGAGAGGACGAUCAGCCACACUGGGACUGAGACACGGCCCAGACUCAUACGGGAGGCAGCAGUGGGGAAUCUUGCGCAAUGGGCGAAAGCCUGACGCAGCGACGCCGCGUGCGGGAAGAAGGCCUUCGGGUUGUAAACCGCUUUCAGGAGGGACGAAGCCACUCGGGUGAAUAGCCUAAGGGUGACGGUACCUCCAGAAUGAAGCCCCGGCUAACUACGUGCCAGCAGCCGCGG
rnacentral:rRNA from 1 species